AAAAAGAUAGAGAAUAGGUGGUGAGAUGGGGAAGAAUGGAGGUGCAGAAGUGAGUAAAAUGUACGAGGCAAAGGUUCAGAACAAGAAGAAUGCAACGGUAAUACCAGCUCCAAGGAAAUCCGUGAAGAGAAUGGUUUUUGAGUCUGUGUUUCAUUUUUUCCUUCGUUGUUUUCGUGAGCUCAAAGGAAGAAACCCAAGUAAGUAGGCAUGCUUUCAAAUGGAGCUGAUGGAAGAAAUGAAAACCAAACGCAUCACCAUGAAUUACAAACUCAAUCAACACAUGUAUUACUUUACAAAAGCAUUAUGGUUUAGUGCAGGAAUAUGUUUUAUUUUUUCGAAUGUAUUUGUUGCAAUUUAUGUUGGGAAGUUUUUGGGUGCAAAUACAGUAACGUGGCUGUAACUGCGGUCUAUACAAAGUGUUCACACGCUACUAUUUUUUUAUUUGUCUUCUCUUACUAGCUGGAAAUUGACUUUUUAAUCCA
rnacentral:lncRNA from 1 species